ensembl:lncRNA myosin-10-like
UUAGACACUUGAAGCGCGAGGUCAGAGGACACCAUGAAGAGAUGUCUCAGUUAAGCGAGAGGGUCAGAGAUAUGGAGCGCCUUAUAGACCAGAAGGAGAAAGAACAGCAGCAGCUACAUGAUCAGCUGCGUGAUGGUCAGCAACAGGUCGAGACAUUUGAAGGGAAGCAAGAGAAGCAGGAGCUUGAGAUGGAAUUUCUUCAGCAGCAGCUGCGAGGAGCCAAGGAGCAGCUGAAAGAUGCCAGUUUACAAGCCCAGGAGAAGAAAGAAACAGUAGCCAUUUUUAGACAGAAGUACACAGCAGCGAUGGAGAAGGUGCACCGGGUGCAAGGGCAGGUGGAGCUUUUGGAAGAGGAACUACAGUAUUCACAGCAACAGCUCGGAGAUGCCCAAGUUGGGACUCAUUCAGUGAAAGAGGAGCUAGCCGAGAUGGAGCAGCGGUACCGGGAAAAGGUCGGCCAAUGGGAGUUCUCGCAGGAGGCUCUCGACCAGUUGACGGAUGAGCUCCAGGCCAAUCAGGAUCUAUGGAGGGAGAGUCAACAAAAAGCAGACCAUCUGAAAGGCCUGGCAGGAUCCCUGCAGGAGCAAGUGGACACACUCAAACAGCAGAAAGCGAUGUUGGAGUGUGACCUACAGCUAUAUCAACAGAGUCACUCUCAUGCUGACGAGGAGUUCCUCCGGCAGCUGAGACACCGGCAGCAGCUUCAGAAGCGCUGCACGGAGCAGGUCGAACGCCUUGCAGAGUGUGAGAAGGCGAUUCUUCAGAUGAAGUCAGAGCUGGAGAGACAAGUCCAGGAAAAAGGGGGUCUGAAGCAAAGUCUUCUCGCGUCCCACCAUACACACACGAGCGACCGAAGCCGGCUGGAACAGGAAGUUGUAUGCUUAGAGCUUGAGCUGGCUGACACCCAAAAGGUACAUGUGGCACUUCUCAGACAGUCAGAGGAGGAGCUGAAGGAGGCCGUACAAGAGGCAGCGAGAAGGAGCAGUGAGGUGGAUGUACAGCGAGGAGAGGCGGUGAGGCUUCAGGAAGAGUUACUGAAGGGGGAGGAGAAGGCGAGUAGUGCCAUCAGAGAGAAACAAAGUCUGAGCGCUCGCAUCAGACAGUUGAGCCAAGAGCUGGAGGAGCUACGCAGCAAGCUGCAAGUGACAGUGGAGGAGUUGGCAGCCCGUGCAGAGGAGGCGAGGCGGAUGGAGGGGAGCCUGAAUGAGGGAAAGCUAGCAGAGGGGAAAAUAAGGUCAAUGGCUGCGAGGAUGGAGACGGAGGUGGCAGAGCUCACGAGGAAUCUUCACCAGGCUGUCGACCACAAACUCUCGGCAGAGCGAGAGAAGCGGGAAGCGCAGGAACAAGUGGACACACUCCGGUCGGAGCUGCAGGGGACACGGUCUGACUACGCACACCUUCGCCAUGAGAGCCAGCUGGUCAUGACUAAUGUUGACCGUUGGAUCAGUGAACAAAAGGUUUCCAACGAGAGCCUCAUCGGCCGGAUGAAGGCCCGCCAGCGGGUGCUGCUCCUCGUCACUGAGGAGAAAACAAUGGAAAAGCAGAGUUGUGUUGCUCUAAACCUCAGCAAGAUCGAGGACAUGCACAACAGACUGCGAAGCAACCUGGAGGCCAUCGGAAUGCUAAAUCAACAAUUAAACUCCCUCAGCGGGGAGAAUAAGCGGUUGUGUAGGCGGCUGCAGGAGGAGAGGUCUAUGCGUAGACAAGUGGAGCGACUGCUCCCUCCUCCGCCUCCCACCUUCCAGCAGUGCUCCUCCGUCUACCUCCCCCUCUCCCUCAGUGCCUGCCCACCUCCUCCCUCCACCUCCCUACUCUCAUCCCUCCGCCUCCCUCCUCCCUUGAGCCCGGGCACAGCGACGGGGGACAUUGAUGGGAUUCUAACCCAAACCAAGCUGAGCAGAGCCGGGCUAGAGAGACCAGAGACGUGCUGAUCAAGAGAUCCCACAUGAAAGCUUCGAUCCUUUAUUGAUUUCACCUUUUUAAACUGCGUCUCUCCGGAGGGUGUGAUAUUGAGAUUAUGAGAA